CCCAAAGUGCUGGGAUUAUAGGCAUGAGCCAUCGUGCCCAGCCACUUUUUUUUACAUUUAAAAUUUUCUGUAUCCCUACUACCACCCAACUGUACUUAACUGUACACAACACCGUAUAGAGCAGUGUGCAGUGUUCGUGCCAAAGGCUUGAGACAGCUAGCGUGACUCGCCCUAUUUUGGCUGCUGGACCUAUCUGCUCUCCCCCUGCUCUCGAGGGCUGUUGAGUUGAGGCAAGUGUCGCAGGCUGAGCCACUGAGGCAAAAACAAGAUCCAGAGCAAAGGCCUGUGGUUUACGAGGGCAUUGUGCUGACUGCUUUCAUAUCCCCUUUAAUCUCUGUGUAAGCAACAGACUUGCUGCAAUUGAGAUGCCUGAGAGGGGCAAGGACCCCUGCCCAUAUUUUCUCAGGAGCUGAGCCUUUGCUCUACCUCCUGAUGGAAAACAUAAUUAACAAGCCACCAUGAGGACACCAUUGUUUGAUUGCACUGUGUACUCUUAAAAAACAUAUAUUAACCUUUAAACUGCUUUGUAAGCUAUCACCUCAAGCCCCUUUAAACUGCUUUGUGAGCUGUUAUCACAAGCCCGAUAACUAUUUUUACGUGGUUUCUGUUCCCUUUUAUGUUUACCCCCUUUUUCUGCUGAGCUAAAGUAAAUGCUGAGCUAAGGUAAAUGUAACAAGAAAAAAGGUAUAAAAGCUGUAACCCAUAAAAAUAAAGCUGCUGCUUGACUACAAGUCACACAGACCUCCAGACUCCGCUUUUCUUUCUUCUUUCACUUCCACGCACUCUCUCCCUCAGGUUGAAUGAGACAUCUACAUUGGCGGUCUCGGGGACUCCUGCAGGUCGGCAGUCCCCACUGGCAGACGUGCCGGCCCCAACAGCAGUGUAUGAACCUUGGCUUAGAUUAUCUCUUAAGCUAAUUUCUGCUAAGUCCAAAGAACACAGAUGGGACCUGCAAAGGCAUUCAAAGCCAGAGCACCUGAACUGCUUAAAUCUGGACUAGAAUAGGAGGAAUGUUAGAAAUCAAGGAAGGGCGUCACAGAUGGAGCUGGAGUAUCUGUGCUUGGCCUUUAUAGAUCGUCUGUCUCAUGGCAGAUGGGAGGAGCCAGCUAAUUCAAGGUACAUCAUCUAGACA
rnacentral:lncRNA from 1 species